rnacentral:rRNA from 1 species
GCAGAAGAGGACAGUGGAACUCCAUGUGUAGCGGUGAAAUGCGUAGAUAUAUGGAAGAACACCAGUGGCGAAGGCGGCUGUCUGGUCUGUAACUGACGCUGAGGCUCGAAAGUAUGGGUAGCAAACAGGAUUAGAUACCCUGGUAGUCCAUACCGUAAACGAUGAAUGCUAAGUGUUGGAGGGUUUCCGCCCUUCAGUGCUGCAGCUAACGCAUUAAGCAUUCCACCUGGGGAGUACGGCCGCAAGGCUGAAACUCAAAGGAAUUGACGGGGGCCCGCACAAGCGGUGGAGCAUGUGGUUUAAUUCGAAGCUACGCGAAGAACCUUACCAGGUCUUGACAUACUAUGCAAAUCUAAGAGAUUAGACGUUCCCUUCGGGGACAUGGAUACAGGUGGUGCAUGGUUGUCGUCAGCUCGUGUCGUGAGAUGUUGGGUUAAGUCCCGCAACGAGCGCAACCCUUAUUAUCAGUUGCCAGCAUUAAGUUGGGCACUCUGGUGAGACUGCCGGUGACAAACCGGAGGAAGGUGGGGAUGACGUCAAAUCAUCAUGCCCCUUAUGACCUGGGCUACACACGUGCUACAAUGGAUGGUACAACGAGUUGCGAACUCGCGAGAGUAAGCUAAUCUCUUAAAGCCAUUCUCAGUUCGGAUUGUAGGCUGCAACUCGCCUACAUGAAGUCGGAAUCGCUAGUAAUCGCGGAUCAGCAUGCCGCGGUGAAUACGUUCCCGGGCCUUGUACACACCGCCCGUCACACCAUGAGAGUUUGUAACACCCAAAGUCGGUGGGGUAACCUUUUAGGAACCAGCCGCCUAAGGUGGGACAGAUGAUUAGGGUGAAGUCGUAACAAGGUAGCCGUA